rnacentral:rRNA from 1 species
GACAGAGGUGCCAAGCGUUAGGCGGAAUCACUGGGCUUAAAGCGUGUGUAGGCGGAAUGGUAAGUACCUUGUGAAAUCCCACAGCUCAACUGUGGAACUGCUCGGUAUACUGCUUUUCUUGAGCCACUUAGGGGCUGUCGGAACAAGCGGUGGAGCGGUGAAAUGCGUAGAUAUCGCUUGGAACGCCGAAGGUGAAAACAGGCUGCUGGGGUUGCGCCGACGCUGAGACACGAAAGCCAGGGGAGCAAACGGG